rnacentral:rRNA from 1 species
AACGUAGGAGACAAACGUUAUCCGGAGUUACUGGGCGUAAAGGGCGUGUAGGCGGUUAGUUAAGUCUGGCGUGAAAGCUCUCGGCUAAACCGGGAGAGGUCGUUGGAUACUGGCUGACUAGAGGAUGGUAGAGGCGUGUGGAAUUCCGGGUGUAGUGGUGAAAUGCGUAGAGAUCCGGAGGAACACCAGUGGCGAAGGCGACACGCUGGGCCGUACCUGACGCUAAAGCGCGACAGCAUGGGGAGCAAACGGG